rnacentral:tRNA from 1 species
GGAUUGUGACUCAGUGGUAGAGUGCUCGCCUAGCACCUGCGAGGCUCUGGGUUCAAGCCUCAGCACCA